rnacentral:rRNA from 1 species
CGACCGGCGCACGGGUGAGUAACGCGUAUGCAACUUACCUAUCAGGAGGGGGAUAACCCGGCGAAAGUCGGACUAAUACCGCAUGAAGCAGGGGCCCCGCAUGGGGAUAUUUGCUAAAGAUUCAUCGCUGAUAGAUAGGCAUGCGUUCCAUUAGUUAGUUGGCGGGGUAACGGCCCACCAAGACAACGAUGGAUAGGGGUUCUGAGAGGAAGGUCCCCCACAUUGGAACUGAGACACGGUCCAAACUCCUACGGAAGGCAGCAG